AUGUUCCCCUUUAAUGUUUUAUCCUUUAUUCUAUGUUAAUCGAUCGCACUUCACAACUUCAUCAUAGCAUCAUCAGAGACAGACCAUCAAAACUAAAGUCACAGACCAUCUCUUUGCAUCACGACAUCAGGGGGAACAUGAUAUUUCCUCAAUCAUUUUUCUAUUUGAUCAUACGAAAGGUACUAAUAUUUUCCUUAAUUUGUAUCUUUGAUCUAUACUCCAAAUCUUUAGUUCCUUUACACAACGGUUGAUUGAAGAUGAAGGUUCAAGAAAAGGGGGAGAAAUUAUGGAAGAAUGGGUCCUGGAGGCCGAUGUGUGAUGCACGAUGUGAAUGCGGUGGCAACACGGGAGUGUGGCGCACAAGUAGUAAUUACCAAUAUAUGUUUACCGAUAUACUAAAAACCAUAAAGAUAUAAAAUGAAACCAAAUGUAACAGUCAUUAAACCAAUUCUAAUGGUAAUCAGUUAACCAAAAUGCAAAAACCCAGAAUGUAAUAAUAGAGAAUAGAAGGUUAACUAAAUGAAUAUCACAAAAGAUGUGGGAAUAGGAAGAGUGGAAGACGAAUAGAUAAAAAGAGAGGAGAAAAAGAUUGUUUUGCGACCAGUAUGUCGUGUGUGCCUCUUUGUAUUCUAGUAGUUGUACGCAGAUAUCUAGGUAAGAAGUAGGGCCGACCAUACUUAAUUAACAAUUGCAUGAGCUUUUUUGAUUAUAUAAAUAUCAUUAAAAUACUUGGGCCAGACCAUGCUGCACCAAAGCAUAAUGCAUUGGUUUCCCUUUGAUCCGCACACAUUGCCUGGCAACAUGUAGGUCGCAUCGCCCCACAUGUAUGUUGCUAAUAUAUCAUCGCAUCGCAUCGCAUCACCGCAUGAAGCAUGUUUUUUUUAAACCAACAUAAUGUCUAGAGUAAACUACACGAAAGGUCCCUAUGGUUUAGGGUGAUUUGCAUGUUUGGUCCUAUGGUUACACAUUUGGUCCUAUCUUACCUAAAAAGACUAUGUUGCCCUCAAUUUUUAAUUUAUUUAAAUAAACACACCCCAAUGCCACUCCUCUUACCUUACCUUACCUACCCACCAUUUUUCUCUAUUUAAAUAAUAGUCUUUUUAGGUAAGACAUGGACGAAGUGCGUAACAAAAACAAACAGUAGGGACUUUCCGAGUUAAAAAAAUAAGUUAAGGACCAAACAUACAAAUUACCCCAAACCAUAGGGACCAUUCGUGUAAUUUACUCUAAUAUAUAAGUGGAGGUUUUAACUUCUUUAUGAAAAAUUAAUAGGUUGGAAUUGUGAGCUAUGUUAGGGUGUGGGAACCAAGAAAGUUGUAAUUAAACCUUAAUCCACCACUUUGUCGUUAGAUUCACCACCAUGCACAAUUUUUUCCCAAGAAAGAAUAUUGGCCCUCUCUCUCGCUUCCUCUCUCUUACUCUAUGUGUGUAUUUUUAACUAUGUGUGUGUUUGUGUUUACAUGCAUGAAAGGGGGAAAUCAUCAAUCCAAGAGACAAUAUGAAUGGUAAGAUAUGUUUUUCUUUAUGUUUUUUAUUUAUACGAGUAAAGUGGAAUCAUACAGUAAGUUUCUUCUUUUCUUCUCCUUUUGGUGAUUUAAUUUGAUUAAAAAAAUUGAUGUUUUUGUAUUCAUAUAAUGUUGUGAAUGUGAGCUUCUAAAUUGCAAAAACCAUCCUGAAGGUUUGAUUUGAGAACUUAUUUUGAUUGUUUGUUUUCUUUAAAUAUUUCUAUCAAUUGUUAAUAUGAUUGUUUGUUCUCUUUACAUGAAACUCAUCUAUCCUCUUAUUUGAUGCAAGAUUAGUUGAUCAAUGUCAUUAAGCAUCACUUUUAGAUAGAAGGGUAAAAUUGUUGUGUACUUUCAUUCAUACAGGUCAAUUAAUCCAAAAAAUAAACAAUUUAAGUGGUGGAUUUUAAGAACAAUUAAUACCAUUAGUUCUUUUUUAUGUUGCUUGUUUGAUUAUAAAACAUACUCUAACAUUAUGUAUGCUAAAGUUCAUAGAUGGAUUGUGCUAAAGUUAGUAAUUUUGGCAUAAUGUUUGUUGUUUGUGACUUUAUUCUAUAUGUUGAGUUUUUGUUUUCAGCCAUCGAAUGGGUAAAAGGAAAACAGAUGGAAGAAGUUCCCUAUACUAAGAACAUUUGAGUUUAAAAUUAUUUUCUUUCACUUAAUAGUCAUUUUAACUUAUAAAUGUAUGGUACACUGAUGUUUAAGGAAACCAUCAGCUAAAUUUAGGAUUUUUGAUAUAUAACAAUAUAGACUCCAUGAUGAUAAUGGUUGUUGGUUGCA